rnacentral:rRNA from 1 species
GAUGAACGCUGACAGAAUGCUUAACACAUGCAAGUCGAUUCAAGUUACCUUCGGGUAAUGAGGAUGGCGGACGGGUGAGUAACGCGUAAGGAACUUGCCUCUUGGUCUGGGACAACUGUUGGAAACGACAGCUAAUACCGGAUAUUAUGAGAUUCUCGCAUGGGAAACUUAUGAAAGCUAUAUGCGCCAAGAGAGAGCCUUGCGUUCCAUUAGCUAGUUGGUGGGGUAACGGCCCACCAAGGCGACGAUGGAUAGCCGGCCUGAGGGGGUGAACGGCCACAAGGGGACUGAGACACGGCCCUUACUCCUACGGGAGGCAGCAGUGGGGAAUAUUGGACAAUGGACCAAAAGUCUGAUCCAGCAAUUCUGUGUGCACGAUGAAGGUCUUCGGAUUGUAAAGUGCUUUCAGUUGGGAAGAAGAAAGUGACGGUACCAACAGAAGAAGCGACGGCUAAAUACGUGCCAGCAGCCGCGGUAAUACGUAUGUCGCAAGCGUUAUCCGGAUUUAUUGGGCGUAAAGCGCGUCUAGGCGGAAAAAUAAGUCUGAUGUUAAAAUGCGGGGCUCAACUCCGUAUUGCGUUGGAAACUGUUUUUCUAGAGUACUGGAGAGGUGGGCGGAACUACAAGUGUAGAGGUGAAAUUCGUAGAUAUUUGUAGGAAUGCCGAUGGAGAAGUCAGCUCACUGGACAGAUACUGACGCUAAAGCGCGAAAGCGUGGGGAGCNAACAGGAUUAGAUACCCUGGUAGUCCACGCCGUAAACGAUGAUCACUAG